CUACAGAUCAAUGGAAGCAAGGUAAUAUAAGUAUGACUUGUGUAUGAUUACUUAAAAAAGUCAUCAUUGCAAAAGCAAUAAGUUGCAAUAGUUGUAAACAUAAACUUAACAUUUAUUUGUAGAUUGUUUAUUGCUGCUCUUCAUUUCAAUGAGAAUGGAAAUAAAGCUCAGAAAACGAAGAAUGAUGGGCAAACAGAAGAGGCAUUGAUUUGGAGAGUGGCUUAUUCAAAGUCAAAAGAAGGACAAGGGGUCAUCAAACCAGUGAAAGUUGACAGCACUUAUGGAUAUGUUAAGGACUUGAUGAAAGAAGUUUUGUACUGCAGACGCAUUAAUCCAACACUGUCCAAAGCUCUUGAUGUCGCUGGAGUGAAAGAAAUACAUAUCCCAUUGACUCAUCACAAAUCAAAAAUCAGCAAAGCUGAAGCCAUUAAGCAACAUAAAUCUCGCUUUAAUAACUAAAAAGAAAUAACGUCCCACAUGAAAUAAACAUAAUUACAAAUGAA